GACGAACGCUGGCGGCGUGCUUAACACAUGCAAGUCGAACGGAAAGGCCCUGCUUUUGUGGGGUGCUCGAGUGGCGAACGGGUGAGUAACACGUGAGUAACCUGCCCUUGACUUUGGGAUAACUUCAGGAAACUGGGGCUAAUACCGGAUAGGAGCUCCUGCUGCAUGGGGGGGGUUGGAAAGUUUCGGCGGUUGGGGAUGGACUCGAGGCUUAUCCGCUUGUUGGUGGGGUAGUGGCUUACCAAGGCUUUGACGGGUAGCCGGCCUGAGAGGGUGAACGGCCACAUUGGGACUGAGAUACGGCCCAGACUCCUACGGGAGGCAGCAGUGGGGAAUAUUGCACAAUGGGCGGAAGCCUGAUGCAGCAACGCCGCGUGCGGGAUGACGGCCUUCGGGUUGUAAACCGCUUUCGCCUGUGACGAAGCGUGAGUGACGGUAAUGGGUAAAGAAGCACCGGCUAACUACGUG
rnacentral:rRNA from 1 species